CGGGCUUGAAAGUUACUGAAGUAUCCAGAGAUGGAUUCCUUCCCUUACGGGACCUACACACAGGUGCUGCAUGGCUGUCGUCAGCUCGUGUCGUGAGAUGUUGGGUUAAGUCCCGCAACGAGCGCAACCCUCGCCUUUAGUUGCCAUCAUUUAGUUGGGCACUCUAGAGGAACUGCCGGUGAUAAGCCGGAGGAAGGUGGGGAUGACGUCAAGUCCUCAUGGCCCUUACACGCUGGGCUACACACGUGCUACAAUGGCGGUGACAGUGGGCAGCAAACUCGCGAGAGUGAGCAAAUCCCCAAAAACCGUCUCAGUUCGGAUUGUUCUCUGCAACUCGAGAGCAUGAAGGCGGAAUCGCUAGUAAUCGCGGAUCAGCAUGCCGCGGUGAAUACGUUCCCAGGCC
rnacentral:rRNA from 1 species